UACAGAGGGUGCAAGCGUUAAUCGGAAUUACUGGGCGUAAAGCGUGCGUAGACGGUUAUGUAAGUCAGAUGUGAAAGCCCCGGGCUUAACCUGGGAAUGGCAUUUGAGACUGCAUAGCUAGGGUGCGGAAGAGGGAAGCGGAAUUUCCGGUGUAGCGGUGAAAUGCGUAGAUAUCGGAAGGAACAUCAGUGGCGAAAGCGGCUUCCUGGUCCAGCACCGACGUUCAGGCACGAAAGCGUGGGGAGCAAACAGG
rnacentral:rRNA from 1 species